AUGGAAGGCCUACUUCAUUGGGACUUUGCACCGGGCCUUGCCCUGGCAGAUCAGGUGAGAAGAAAGUUUGGAUCAACAAUGCACUUUUCUCCCUCUCGGGACAUCAAGGAGUUCUUUUUGGUGGUUUCUUUCUCUUCGGUCUCUUCCCCCCUCACGGUUGAUUCGGUUGGGGUUGCAUUACAAUGUUGCAUGGGAGGGAUUUGCUCAGGUUUCAAUGUGGUGCCCAUUACUUCUAGAUCAUUUCGUUUUUCUGUGGCCAACAACAAAGUGGGGCACUUCAUCUAUGGGCUCAAAGAUCGUGUUUGGCCGGACUUUGUGUGCCACUUCCAUCUGUUCAAUGGUCAUUUUGCCAAAGCAAAUCCUCUUGAGUCACAUUGGCAUGCGGAUAAAAGAACCGGUUGA
rnacentral:rRNA from 1 species